rnacentral:lncRNA from 1 species
GUGCCCAUUGGAGCCAAUCAGCUGAGUACAUAAUACAGAAUGAGGAGGAAAGAGACCAGCUACGAAACACCAAAAAUAACUGCUUGGUGCACUGAUAAUUGCGUUAUUCUCUGCUUUUCCACCACUCGCAUUAGCUCUGGGGGAAGGAAACAUCCUGCUUCCCUAAGUCGAACACUUUAUUGCCAACCUGAAACGAUUUCAGGAUUGGCUUCCAGAGGUGGAAGCAGCACAGCCGCGUGCACAGCGUUGCAAGUGUGCAGACAGCGGGCUCUCAGCAUCCUGCAAUUCUCCUCAAGGUGAGACCUUCCCAGCCCCCGGCCCCAGCCCACGUGUGGACCCCUGGUUACCCCCAUGCUCCGGUGUUGCCCAGUGCAGGCCUGGAGCAGCCAGGGAGCCACAGGGACCUGAAACAACACGCGUCUGUGUGUGACUCAGCCGGGGCUUCCCCGCAGCCUCUGGGCGCAGGAAGUUUACCUGGGAGGGGAGGCUGGAGAGGAGCCGGGGGGGAGAGGCAGGGGGCUGCAGACCCCGGGAGACCUGCCCAGCCGCUGGACAGUAUGGGCAGCUCUGGGGCCAGGACGAGGAGUCUGAGUGCAGGCAGGAGCUCCUUCUGCAGCCCAGCAAAUCCUCCACUGGUCUGGGUGAUCAGAGGGGGCGCCUGCCCGCGGGGCUCACAGUGGCGUCCGUCCAGACUGUGCCUGCAGCCACCUCAACAGCCUUCAGGUCAGAUGGGCCACCUCUUCUGAUUGAGGCAACAGGAGGGUGAGCUGAUAGGUCCUCACCCCACGCUUGGCAAAUGCCAAGGGCCCGUCCCUGCAAACAAAGAACCAAGGUCAGUGGGUCAGGGAGGGAGGAAGAGCCUCCCUGAAACUGCCCCAGCUCCGCCCCUGGAUAGUGGGGGGCCAGGUCCACAAAGCUCCCGCCCCCGAAAAGACAGAGGUAACCGGCUCCCGGGAAGCAAGCGGCUGCCUGCCUGCCGGGGGCACAGAGGAGCUGCUGCCGGCUUGGCCUGGCGGGUCCGCACCUGAUGGGUCAGUAAUCCGGAGGGUGAGCCCCCUUCGUCUGUUCCUCAGAGAACAGGGCCACCCUUUCUGGCUUCACGGUAGCAGGAAGGAGUUCUGGGCCAGGUCUGGAUUGACAGCAGCUGCCUGGGGGUUAGGUUGAAGGCAGAACACUGAUUUCAGGCCAGGUCCUCUCUGCCGAGGAGGCAGUAGAAUUUUCUGGAAGCUUCUGAAUGCAGGUCCCAGGCCGGCUCUGCAGGCCGAAGAGUGCUGGGCACCCGGAGCUGGGACGCAGGUGGGCUGCCGUGGGGCACAGCCAGGGCAUUCUCUGCAGCAGCCGGCUGUUAGGGGGAAGCCGAACCAAAGGGGGGGGGUUCCUGGGCCCCGGGCCUGGGCCCUGCUCCUGGGUCCUCCCCAGGUGGGCUCUGGGGCCUCCGCUGAGCCCCCAGGUCAGGGUCAGGGCGUGGCAUCCUGUGCAAAGAGCUGGGGGGUCCUAACUG